UAAUUUUUUGUGUGGUCACUCUCAUUUGUGCCAUAUAAUCUUCACAAAUCACAGACCCCAAAUCAUGUGCCUCUUGCCUUCACAUCGAAAUCGAUUUCUUGGCCCUCCAAAUUGUUCUCGCUUACGUUCAUCUCUGGUGGUUCUCAUUUGUCCGUUCUUGAUUUGUUUUCGCUUCCGGUCGCAACUUCAAGCAGUUCUCACUUCUGGUGGCGACUUCAAUCGUGUUCGGUGGUUCUUGUUUGUGCCCGUUUGAAGUAUGCAUCUGAAUUUCGAUGGCCGUGCUGCUUCUCAGUUCCAACGAUCAAUCUGCUCUCAGGUUUGACUGUUCUCUCUUCUCAGCUUGGAGUCAUUCUCAGUUCGAAGGUCGUGCCUAGCGUUCAGGUUAUCAGUUUAUGCUUUAAGUCUCUCGACGUCCGUUUUCAACUCCAAAAGUUGAAUAUUGUGGUUUCACGUUCUCAGUUUGCAUUUUCAGCCUCUUGGUUCGUCCAGUGGUGUGUAAGCCCAUGAAUUAUUCAACUCUAAUCUCUAUUCUAUUAUUUGGGACCAUUAAAUUUUAGUAUUAGCUUACUUAUGGAUUGAGAAUAUUAGUCAUGUUUUGGAAAUUACUGUUAUUUUGUCUGUUUGAUUUUUUGUGGACUUUGAAUAUUUCAACUGUGGAAUGAUUCGGUGUACUGUUUUUACAUAGGAUAUGAACCCACGGGAAAGAGAAAGGAGAAAACCCAAGAGGAAGAAAAGAAUAAUGUACCCUUAAGUCCUCUUUAUACAUAUGCUAUUGAUUGGGAAUUUAAAUGCACACAAAAUAUGCAUUAUUUGUCUUAGAUUUAUUAUGGUUUUUAACAUGAUUUUAUGAGAUUUUAUGUGUUUACUAGUUAUUUUCAAAGUUUAUGAUUGAGAAUUGAAAUUAUAGUCAAAAUGAUCCAAAACGACCAAAAUUAUGCCCAAAGAAGUCAAAAUUGAGCAGUGAUCCAAGAGAGUGAAGAAAAGUGAUAACUUGUAGAAAUACAAGUUAUUGUUCUCUAAAAGUUAGAAUAAUUAGAAUUGUAGGUGAUGUAAAUGCAUUCAUGAUAAAGGAAAAUGCAUAAAAUUGUAUAUAUGUUAUAAACUUAUGCAAAAGUAUCAUCUUAAGUAAAAAACUGCAUCACUAACACACUUUAAUGCAGAAAUCAGAAAAAUUUACUAAGUGUUGCAGACAAAGCCAAUGCAAGGGGCAUGUGUCCAAUUUAUCCGAUGCAUAAAUGAUAUAUUUGGCUUGUGCAAUCAACGUCAAAUCACAACUUGCAAGCAUGAACAUCUGACUAAUGGCUUCUGAUCAAGACAGAAUGGUAGUUGACUAUCACAGCAAGAAAUAGGAGGGAUGAUAGCCAUUCUCCACCGUUGGUAACGAGGUGCUACCGGAGAGAAGCUCGAGAGAGACAUCUCCUUCAACCCUUCCACCAAGUUGAUAACAACAAGCACAAAAACAAGCCAAAGGGGGACAAUAGAUUGAACCCUGUACCUUGACUUUGUUCUUUUACUUUGCAUUCUUAUUCACUAUCCUACUUCAUUGAAUAAGAUUAUAUGUAUCAAGACUUAUUUCUUUAAUUUAAUCUCCAUCUCAACCAUUAUUCACAUC